AUGGAGAAUCAAGCCCAUGCUACAGCAGGAGCUUCUCCUUGUGAAGCAGAGCUUCAGGAACUGAUGGAACAAAUUGACAUCAUGGUGAGCAACAAGAAGUUGGACUGGGAAAGAAAGAUGCGGGCUUUAGAGACACGAUUAGACCUUCGUGAUCAAGAGUUGGCCAAUGCACAGACUUGCUUGGAUCAGAAAGGCCAGGAGGUACUGAGUACACAUGUCAGCAAAGUGUUCACGCACCAAACUCAUUUGUCACUUACAAUUCUGUCAGCAAACUUGGUGUUAAAUGUAUGCUAUCAAAUAGAUGCAGGGAUAAAUCAGAUAUUUACUAAUGGAGACACUCACUACACCAAUGCUGACAAUAAAUGUAACAGACAUUUAAGGUACAUGUGAAGUAAGAGUGUUUGGAAACAAAAGUAAAAAUGCUUUGGCUCCUACAGAAGCCCUGCCAUGGAGACCAAAGCUGUCUUUGUUCAGCAGAGCCCAGGAGUGUUUGCUGCUUCUGAUCUGCUGGAAAAUGUUUUGUGAACAAGCAUGUCAAGAGUUAAUUGCCAAAGGAGAGUGCAUUUGAUGAAAGUGUGUGUGUGUGUGUGUGUGUGUGUGUGUGUGUGUGUGUGUUUGUGUUUGUGUGAGUGUUCUCAUGAAUGCAUAGGUGUGUGGGUGUGUGUGCUCAUGUGUGUGCAAAGGUAUGGGGGUAUGGGUGGGUUUGUUCUCCUGUGGGUGUGUGCAGGUAUGUGUGUGUGUGUUCUUGUGUGUGCCUGUGUGUGUGUGGGGGGGGGUGCUGGUGUGUACCUGUAGUGCCCACUUAGAAUGGCUUCCUUCCACUCCUGUAACUGCUCACUCCUGAGCUGGUGCACAUAGGAGAUUGUGAAAGACCUUGGGGGUUUCAGAAAAACAUCUGCAGACCUACAUGUCUGGACUCUUUUGGGAGUCAGGAAUCAUACGUCAUCGCAGAAGUUUUCAUCAGCCACUUUCCAGCUCUUUCUGUGGACUUAUGGAUGGUUUGAGUUUUGGCAAAGCUGAGGGCGUUGGUGUUCUGCAGGUGGGUGUAGCUGUGGUUUCCCUUGGCUCGAAAGGCAGGUCCAAUGGUCCUGGUAUAUGCAAGGACCUACAGUGACACAGAUAUAUAAGUAGGUGUCUCAUCCGCAUUUAAACAGAGUAAUGCAAACCCUUAAUAAGUGCUCUUAAACAUUUUUAUUUCCUCAUUAAUAUGUUAGUUUUUAUAAAAUGCAACAAUUAUCCAUUGGCCAUGAAACUGGUAAGGAAUGGAACCUGACCAAAAGAAAAUCUUUGAGUUACCUUAGUAGAAGUUCUACAUGAACAGCAAUGGCACAGCCUGCCAAACAGAUCAUACAGAGUAAAGUCUAAAUCUUAAUUUAAAAUGCAACAGUGACAAGGAUCUCUUGCUAAAUAUACUUCCAUGCUAUCCUAAUACACAGCCAGUGGACCGGGCUAGAGAUGUUUGCUUUCUGUGAAUUCAGUUAUUAGUAGUUAUUUUAAGAACUGCAGGACAAAUAUUUACUCUUGGCUCAGUGCAGCAGUUUAACUUGGAUUGCACUUCUUCUUUGCACAUUUUCUGAUUUUUUAAGGUAAAAUUCAGGAAAAAAGCUAAUUUAAAGUUUAUUUUUAAUGCAGGUGGGGUUACUUCGACAGAAGUUGGACAGUCUAGAAAAAUGCAAUUUAAUGAUGACGCAGAACUACGAAGGACAGCUACAAGCCCUGAAAGCUCAAGUAAGAGAACCUGUUAAAUGUAACAUUACAUGUUUUGACCUAUGAUAUGUUAAUUUUUUAAAAAAAUGCUUUGCAUAUAAGCAAAUGUUCUUGUAUCUUAAUUGCAUGUUCAUGUCUGGCUGCCAUUGUCUUCUGUGUCCUGAUUGUCUCUCCUACAAGGCUGUCAACUCAAAUACCAUCUGCAUGGCCUUCCCUAUGACAGGGCACUAGACAAAUAACUUUCUGUCUCUCCAGAGGCUAUUUUUUAUGAUUAUUAUUAGUUAUGAGAACAAAAAACGAAAUUCUCUUCUAUGGUUAUUUCUGGGGUUUCCACUGCAGCCUAAAAAUAUGGAUGGUUGAUACUAUGAAGUAAGUAGCAGAAAGUGAGUGAGUGAGAAAUUACGUAGCUGAAAGAACAGAGCUGGCCUUGCUGCUGGUGGCUGUUUAUAAAUGGCAUGCCUCUGCCUAUGCUGUGAGAGGGUACCAAUUUCUUUGUCACCCAUCACUGCAGCUCCCCACGAGGCUUGCCCCAAAGUCUUGUCUCCUAGCAAAAAAAGUCUCAUAGGGCAGGAGUCACCUCAACAUCCCAGGCCCAGCAGCUGCUUGAGUCCUUAACCUAGAAAAGGAAUCAGUAGGGUGUGUGGUGUGAUUGUGAACUCUGACCACCAACGUUUCUUGGAAAGCAAAGAGUUCAUAUGUAAUAACCUGGUUAAGGGAGCCUGGAGUAUCCGAUGCUCCUCCUUAAGUGCUAUAAAGGGGAUACAGCCAUUAAAAAUGGAGUAGGAAAUAUUUGAACCCAUUACUUAACUGUUAUUACAGAAUGUUUCCGACUAGCUGUCUAUAUUUUGCUUGCAAUUCAGGUAUGUGCCAUGAGAAGGCAGCUUGUACUAUGAAUCUGCACACAGUUUUCUGAGACCAGAAGCAUCUAAAACUUAGGGCAAUCAAUCUUGUUUUUUUUUUUCCCUCAUACAAAUAUAGCAACACAAAUCUGAAUUCACCUGACAGCCCAGUGUGGGUAUGUCUGAAGCUGCUGGACAGGUAGACUGGCUGUGUGUUUCUCUGCCCUCUUCAGCACAGCUGAAAGCCCUGGACAUUGUAAGACAGCAUGUGUACCUGGUAGAAAGCAGGGAGAAGAGAUGGAUUGCUUAGGGGUCUUGGGAGCCAACUCGGGACACCAGUGUGCUCUCUGGGAUUUGUUUUAGCAUUGUCACACAGUUCAGACACAGUAAUGGGUACAGAAAGACAAACAGUGGGCAGAGCCCAAGGAAAUCCUGUCAUCUGUAGCAGGAAAAGACCAAGAACGCAGCAAACCUACCAACACAAAAACUCUCAAAAGUAGCCAAAUACCACAGAAAAAUAACUACAGCCCUGGUCCACCAACAAACAUUGGGUAGAAAAC
rnacentral:lncRNA from 1 species